CAGAGAAACACAAGAUCUUAGUCCCCUAUCGCCAAUUACUUGAGAAAAUCUAGACCUAAAUACCCAAAAAAAAUUCCAAUUCCUUCGAACAAUGCUAUUAAGUCCUUCGAGGAAGCUAUCCUUGAAAAUGGGGUGCAUGUGGGUAACUUCUCUUCUGGUCCUGUUAAUAAUCCAUCUGAAUCUUUGAGGAAAAGUUUCAGGUACAAGUUCUUGAUGUGCAUGGGAAUCAUAAGCAUCCGUAUGGGAGUUCUAGUACAUGAGUACUUUCUUAAUAAAGUUAUUUUGAAUUUUAUGUUUGACUUUACUUGACUAUUGGGGUCAAGGUUUGACUUGUUUUGAAGAUGGGACUAGUAUGGGAUAGUCUCCGAGUUUGUAACUCAUUUAUAUACUUUCUUAUUUCAGUUGUAUUAAAGUAUUUAUAGUUUAUUUUAAAAGACUUUCGUUGUAUUCUCUAAUUAACCUUGCGUAUUA